CCUACGGGGGGCAGCAGUGAGGAAUAUUGGUCAAUGGACGAGAGUCUGAACCAGCCAAGUAGCGUGAAGGAUGACUGCCCUAUGGGUUGUAAACUUCUUUUAUAUGGGAAUAAAAUGUUCCACGUGUGGGAUUUUGUAUGUACCAUAUGAAUAAGGAUCGGCUAACUCCGUGCCAGCAGCCGCGGUAAUACUGAGGAUCCGAGCGUUAUCCGGAUUUAUUGGGUUUAAAGGGAGCGUAGGUGGAUUGUUAAGUCAGUUGUGAAAGUUUGCGGCUUAACCGUAAAAUUGCAGUUGAAAAUGGCAGUCUUGAGUACAGGAGAGGUGGGCUGAAUUCGUGGUGUAGGGGUGAAAUGCUUAG
rnacentral:rRNA from 1 species